ensembl:lncRNA
GAAAAACAAUUACUCAAAGGAAAAGUAACAAAGUAAACAUCACUCAGUCAAGUUAUAGGCUCGAUUACACUAGACAGUUACACUAGACUAGUUACACAGUGUUCUAGGAGCCCAGAUGAGAACAGGAUGUGCAUACUGCUGUUCUGAUACUUAUACUUGUUGAUUGUGGAGAGCAGAUGCGCAUGAGCCAAAGUUUCAUUUAAGCAGAGAAGCAUACAGCGGCACAAGGGCAUCACUAAGCAAAUGGGGAAAGCUUCCUUCCUGGAUAGAUGAGGGGGGAGUCCACAGACAUGGUAGGAAAAUGGAUUAAGGAGGACAUACUGUUAUGGAAGAAAAGCAAAGCUACAUUUGGCACAUCUCCCUCUGGCUGUUAUUUGACAGUCCACAUAUCAUUGUGGCUCUCUCAUGCUGACAAGUGUUCCAGUCGGAGUCUGUGGCUGCCUCACCCCCAGAAGCAUCUGAUCUCACUGCUUCUGCUCCAGAUGGUGAUGUAUGAGAGGGUACGACAUGGGCAGUGAUGGGUGCUGUGUAAUGUCACUUCAAGACCUACAGCAGAUUAGUGAGAAGGAGACCUCCGAACAUGGAUCUCCGGCACCUCUGUAGCUCCCAAGAGCCCUCAUUCUUCUGACUUGGAGAUAACUUACUAGAAGGCCAAGCAUAGGAUUAAUUUAUCGCCAAACUGGUUUCAAAGUGAGAGCAAAAGACCGACUUUAGCAUUUAUUUCUAAUUGACAAUGAGGUUGAAGUCCAACUCUGGCAAUAAGAAAUCACUCUCAUGGACAACAGGGGCAAGAAUUGCAUCCUGUGUCACGUUUUAUGAGCUCAAAUCAUGGGAUUUAUGGUAAGUAUUUUGCCUUACCUUAUUUGAUCAAAAAGGUCAUUCAUCUUUUAGCCAUCUCAAAGCAACUCCAAAAUUUCUUGUUUUCCUUUUUUCAGAGAACGAUCAGCAAGCUUCACAUGAAUAAAGGCUACCCCAAGUUAUCAAUAAGCAAGCCGCUAUCAGCAAGCUUCACAUCACCACAAGGUCCAGAGGGAGGAACAAAAUGCAAGACAUCCCCCAGGUCAGAGCUGCCUCCUGAAGACUGGAGACACUGUCCCAUCCACUCCAUGAAAUUGCUGUUAUGUUUCUUGGAAGAUCCAUGCGUACCAAAGCUAGGUUACAGCACAUGUCUUUGUAUGUCUUAGACUCCAAUAGGAAAGACCACAUAGUGUGAUGCCCAUCAACGGUAGACUGGAUAAAGAAAUUAUGGGAUAUGUACUCUUUAGAAUACUAUACCACAGUAAGAAACAACGAAAUCCAGUCAUUUGCAACAAAAUGGAGGAAUCUGGAACAUAUCAUGCUGAGUGAAAUAAGCCAGUCCCAAAGGGACAAAUACCAUAUGUUCUCCCUGAUCGGUGGCAACUGACUGAACACCAAAAAGGAAACCUGUUGAAGUGGAAUGGACACUAUGGGAAACGGUGACUUGAUCAGCAUAGCCCUGACUGUUAAUGAACAACUUAAUACAUUAUCCCUCUUAGUAGUUGUUUUGUCUGUUCUACUUAAUAUGACUGGUUUAAUUCUGUAAUUAAUACACAGUUAUUCUUAAGUGUUAAAAAUUAACUGAAAUGUGAUCCCUGUUAAACAUAAGAGUGGGAAUAAGAGAGGGAAGAGAUGUAUAAUUUGGGACAUGCUCAAGCUGACUUGCCCCAAAUGGUAGAGUUAAAAACAUACCAGGGGAUUCCAAUUCAAUCCCAUCAAGGUGGCAUGUACCAAUGCCAUCUCACUAUUCCAAGUGAUCAAUUUCAGUUCACAAUUGAUCAUAAUGAAAGGACUAAGAGUCAAAGGGAGCACAUAAACAAGUCUAGUACCUGCUAACACUAACCGAUGGAAUAAAUAAAGGGGAGAGUGAUCCA